AGUUUGAUCAUGGCUCAGAUUGAACGCUGGCGGAAUGCUUUACACAUGCAAGUCGAACGGCAGCACGGGGCAACCUGGUGGCGAGUGGCGAACGGGUGAGUAAUACAUCGGAACGUGCCCAAUCGUGGGGAUAACGUAGCGAAAGUUACGCUAAUACCGCAUACGAUCUACGGAUGAAAGCGGGGGAUCGCAAGACCUCGCGCGAAUGGAGCGGCCGAUGUCAGAUUAGGUAGUUGGUGGGGUAAAGGCUCACCAAGCCGACGAUCUGUAGCUGGUCUGAGAGGACGACCAGCCACACUGGGACUGAGACACGGCCCAGACUCCUACGGGAGGCAGCAGUGGGAAUUUUGGACAAUGGGCGCAAGCCUGAUCCAGCCAUUCCGCGUGCAGGAUGAAGGCCUUCGGGUUGUAAACUGCUUUUGUACGGAACGAAACGGUUCUCUCUAAUACAGGGGGCUAAUGACGGUACCGUAAGAAUAAGCACCGGCUAACUACGUG
rnacentral:rRNA from 1 species